ACAUUGUGCUUGCACAGAUGACGACCGGCGCACGGGUGCGUAACGCGUAUAGAACCUACCUUUUACAGAGGAAUAGCCUUUAGAAAUGAAGAUUAAUGCCUCAUAGUAUUGUAGACUGGCAUCAGUUUAUAAUUAAAGAUUUAUCGGUAAAAGAUGGCUAUGCGUCCUAUUAGUUAGUUGGUAAGGUAACGGCUUACCAAGACAGCGAUAGGUAGGGGUCCUGAGAGGGAGAUCCCCCACACUGGUACUGAGACACGGACCAGACUCCUACGGGAGGCAGCAGUGAGGAAUAUUGGACAAUGGAGGAGACUCUGAUCCAGCCAUGCCGCGUGUAGGAAGAAUGCCCUAUGGGUUGUAAACUACUUUUAUACAGGAAGAAACACUGGUAUGUAUACCAGCUUGACGGUA
rnacentral:rRNA from 1 species